rnacentral:rRNA from 1 species
AGGAAAAAAGUGUUAUCCAUGCAAGGCAAAUAUAUUGUGUUGAAGUCAGUAGUACAAGCUAUUCCCUCAUAUGCCAUGUCAGUAUUGAAACUGCCCAAAGGAAUUUUCAAAGAAAUAACUGAUGAGAUGUUAGGAUUUUCGUGCGGAGAUAGUGAAUAUAAGAAAAUGAUGCAUUGGUAUGCAUGGUGGAAGAUAUGCCCAAAAGAAGAAAUGGGCAUGGGAUUUACAGACUUGCACAACUUUAAUCUUGCUAUGUUAUCAAAGUAGUGUUGACGUCUAAUCCAAAACCCUAAUUCAUUUUGUGCACAGGUAUUAAGUGCAAAAUUUUAUUUUUGA